rnacentral:rRNA from 2 species
UGUGACCUCAAAUCAGGUAGGACUACCCGCUGAACUUAAGCAUAUCAAUAAGCGGAGGAAAAGAAACUAACAAGGAUUCCCCUAGUAACUGCGAGUGAAGCGGGAAAAGCUCAAAUUUAAAAUCUGGCAGUCUUUGGCUGUCCGAGUUGUAAUCUAGAGAAGUGUUAUCCGCGCUGGACCGUGUACAAGUCUCCUGGAAUGGAGCGUCAUAGAGGGUGAGAAUCCCGUCUUUGACACGGACUACCAGGGCUUUGUGAUGCGCUCUCAAAGAGUCGAGUUGUUUGGGAAUGCAGCUCAAAAUGGGUGGUAAAUUCCAUCUAAAGCUAAAUAUUGGCGAGAGACCGAUAGCGAACAAGUACCGUGAGGGAAAGAUGAAAAGAACUUUGGAAAGAGAGUUAAACAGUACGUGAAAUUGCUGAAAGGGAAACGCUUGAAGUCAGUCGCGUCGUCCAGGGAUCAACCUUGCUUUUGCUUGGUGCACUUUCUGGUUGACGGGUCAGCAUCAAUUUUGACCAUUGGAAAAAGAUUAAGGGAAUGUGACAUCUUUGGAUGUGUUAUAGCCCUUGGUUGUAUACGAUGGUUGGGAUUGAGGAACUCA